rnacentral:lncRNA from 1 species
UUAUGAUAGCAUGAUACUAAACCCCUAACGGGAGGGAUUGUGCCUGAUAUUCAUAUGAUGAAGACAUAAUCUUUCAAUCAGUUUAAUUGAGGUCUGGAGCUGGCAUGUCAGUUGACUGCUAGUAGUCUGUUGUUAUUUAUAUAUUAUUGUCAUUUUAUUUAUUUUCUUUUGUUACAUCUUUUGACAUCGGACUCGGACUUUUCUUGAACUGAAUUUUAAUGUGCGUAUUGUUAUGCGUUUACUUUUCUACAUUGGCUAGAUGUAUAGGGGGAGGGUUGAGAUCUCAUAAACAUGUUUAACCCCGCCGCAAUUUUGCGCCUGUCCCAAGUCAGGAGCCUCUGGCCUUUGUUCGUC